UACGGGGGGGGCAAGCGUUGUUCGGAAUUACUGGGCGUAAAGGGCUCGUAGGUGGCCAACUAAGUCAGACGUGAAAUCCCCGGGCUUAACCUGGGAACUGCAUUGGUGACUGCAUCGCUCGAGUAUGGCAGAGGGGGGUAGAAUUCCACGUGUAGCAGUGAAAUGCGUAGAGAUGUGGAGGAAUACCGAUGGCGAAGGCAGCCCCCUGGGUCAAGAUUGACGCUCAUGCACGAAAGCGUGGGGAGCAAACAGG
rnacentral:rRNA from 1 species